rnacentral:rRNA from 1 species
AGAGUUUGAUCCUGGCUCAGGACGAACGCUGGCGGCGUGCUUAACACAUGCAAGUCGAGCGAGGCCCUCCUUCGGGGGGUGCCCUAGCGGCGAACGAGUGAGUAACACGUGGGCAACCUGCCCUCAGCUCUGGGAUAACUCCAAGAAAUUGGUGCUAAUACCGGAUGUGACCGCUGACCGCAUGGUCUGGUGGUGGAAAGAUUCAUCGGCUGAGGAUGGGCCCGCGGCCUAUCAGCUUGUUGGUGGGGUGAUGGCCUACCAAGGCGACGACGGGUAGCCGGCCUGAGAGGGUGACCGGCCACACUGGGACUGAGACACGGCCCAGACUCCUACGGGAGGCAGUAGUGGGGAAUAUUGCGCAAUGGGCGAAAGCCUGACGCAGCGACGCCGCGUGAGGGAUGACGGCCUUCGGGUUGUAAACCUCUUUCAGUAGGGACGAAGCGCAAGUGACGGUACCUACAGAAGAAGCACCGGCCAACUACGUGCCAGCAGCCGCGGUAAUACGUAGGGUGCAAGCGUUGUCCGGAAUUAUUGGGCGUAAAGAGCUCGUAGGCGGUCUGUCACGUCGGCUGUGAAAACCCGAGGCUCAACCUCGGGCCUGCAGUCGAUACGGGCAAACUAGAGUACUGCAGGGGAGACUGGAAUUCCUGGUGUAGCGGUGAAAUGCGCAGAUAUCAGGAGGAACACCGGUGGCGAAGGCGGGUCUCUGGGCAGUAACUGACGCUGAGGAGCGAAAGCGUGGGGAGCGAACAGGAUUAGAUACCCNNGUAGUCC